GUGGGGAAUUUUGGACAAUGGGCGCAAGCCUGAUCCAGCCAUGCCGCGUGCAGGAUGAAGGCCUUCGGGUUGUAAACUGCUUUUGUACGGAACGAAAAGACUCCUUCUAAUAAAGGGGGUCCAUGACGGUACCGUAAGAAUAAGCACCGGCUAACUACGUGCCAGCAGCCGCGGUAAUACGUAGGGUGCAAGCGUUAAUCGGAAUUACUGGGCGUAAAGCGUGCGCAGGCGGUUAUAUAAGACAGAUGUGAAAUCCCCGGGCUCAACCUGGGAACUGCAUUUGUGACUGUAUAGCUAGAGUACGGUAGAGGGGGAUGGAAUUCCGCGUGUAGCAGUGAAAUGCGUAGAUAUGCGGAGGAACACCGAUGGCGAAGGCAAUCCCCUGGACAUGUACUGACGCUCAUGCACGAAAGCGUGGGGAGCAAACAGGAUUAGAAACCCGGGUAGUCC
rnacentral:rRNA from 1 species